UCCGCUUUACAGCGGCAGUCUCGCUAGAGUCCUCGGCAUUACCCGUUAGCAACUAGCGACAGGGGUUGCGCUCGUUAAUGGACUUAACCAAACACUUCACAGCACGAGCUGACGACAGCCAUGCAGCACCUGUGCACGUUGUACCCUUGCGGGCCUUACUGAUGUUUCCACCAGCUAAUCCGUGCAUGUCAAACCCAGGUAAGGUUCUUCGCGUUGCUUCGAAUUAAGCAACAUGCUCCACCGCUUGUGUGAGCCCCCGUCAAUUUCUUUGAGUUUUAAUCUUGCGACCGUACUUCCCAGGCGGCGCAUUUAACGCGUUAGCUUCGCCACAAACGGGGUCGAUUCCGUUUACAGCAAAUGCGCACCGUUUACAGCCAAGACUAC
rnacentral:misc_RNA from 1 species